CAGUAGCCGCGGUAAUACAGAGGGUGCAAGCGUUAAUCGGAAUUACUGGGCGUAAAGCGCGCGUAGGUGGUUCGUUAAGUUGGAUGUGAAAUCCCCGGGCUCAACCUGGGAACUGCAUCCAAAACUGGCAAGCUAGAGUAUGGUAGAGGGUGGUGGAAUUUCCUGUGUAGCGGUGAAAUGCGUAGAUAUAGGAAGGAACACCAGUGGCGAAGGCGACCACCUGGACUGAUACUGACACUGAGGUGCGAAAGCGUGGGGAGCAAACAGGAUUAGAUACCCCUGUAGUCCCUGUCUCUUAUAC
rnacentral:rRNA from 1 species